UAUGAACUAUUUUAGGAGUCUAGAGAGGUA
rnacentral:piRNA from 1 species